GUUUUUGAAGUAGUAUUUUUUUAUUAUCAAAAAACAAAUAGUUGGCAUUGCACAAAUAAAUACACCAUAAAUAUGUAACGUACUGUUGGCAUCGUCUCCAACGCCAACACUAUUUUUUAACUGUGACACCAUAUUGAUGGCAUCGGGUGUCUACGUACGUCAGUAAGGCCAUUUUUGCCACGUCAUAACUAGGCUUUUCUGCACUCAAUAUGUAUCUAUCUUUCUGUCCUCAGAUCGUAUUUGUCUUUAUGUUAGUAAUCAAAGAUCAAUUUUCUGGUUCUUUCAUACUUUAGGUAUCGCCCCUGUUUGGUCUAUAGAUAUGGGAUGUGCGACGCUGAUUUUGUUAUCAUUGGGGCUGUUGUUAAGCAUGCAUUCUCCUUUGCAAGCCUUUUCCAAGGCUUCAUAUCUUGCAACUUUUUGACUUGCCGAGUUUAUGGCAAUGUAUUGCGCGAGAUCCACGUUUGUAGUUAAUAAUUCUGAGGAUAGUUUUUCUUAAGGCGCCCGUCUUUUCUAGUUGUAGCAACCAAAUCGUCCGUUCCAUGACGCGUCUGAUGUCAUCCCUUACUAUCCCUGGCAAGUGCCAAGGAAAAGCGACUAUUUUUUAUCUACUGGACAAGUGUCAGCCACAACAUUAAUUCUGUUUAACAGAAUAUGUAUGUACUAACUAUUAACUGAACAUAUAUCAUGAUACUUUGAUGUAUUGUACUAUACUGAAUCUAUAUCAUGAUAUGUUCUAUAUAUAUAGAUAUCAUUUUUGUAGGCAUUACAUGGAACGUAGGGAUUGCCACACAUCAGCAUGUCCCAACAGUGGCAGGCCACAGCUACGAUUCGAAUGCGGCUGCAGGGUCGGGGCCGAGAAUACAGCUGCUUGGCAGCGGGCGAUGAAGAUUUGGCUGGCUCUGCGCAUGAGGGCGUACAAUUUGUUUAGAUUAUACACAAGAAAAAAUGAAAUAAAAAAACAAGAUAUGGUCAAGAUCACGGCAUUAAACUGGUCAAGAUCACGGCUGAAAUUAAUGCUUCCAUGCGAGCGCUAUCAACCUAGCUCACAGCUGAAAUGUUUCAGGGUGGACGUGGUGGGACUUAAGUUCUCGGGUACUGGCCAUCAUGACUGAUUCAAGAAGGCAAAAAAAAGCUUGACCUGAAGCAUGGAUGCUCUGCGUGCAGUGGGAUGGGCAAUGAGACGAAUAUGGGCAUAUAUGUGUAAUUUGUAGGCCAUACCACGUACUUCCAUGUGGAUUCACCAAGCAUACCACGUACACACAACUCACAUACUCUGGUCCAGUGGUGAGAAUCCAAGUAGCAUACUCAAGAAUGUUUGCGUUAAAAAAAAAAUCAGAAUUUUCAAAUUUAUUUCUGCUAUUUUUAGAAAUGUACUAUUCAAUCAGGUCCAUUUGCUCAGUUGCCGUAAUUCUAUCUACAUCGAUGCAACUAACACUUGACAACCGUGGCGCCAAAGACCAUUGUGUGAGAACCGGAGCAAGUGAACUAGUUGUGGACACUGGACACCGCCCAUGAGUUCGCAAAAGAGGCAAACGUAAGCUGGACGAAAUGCACCCCCAUGUUGAUGCACACAAAUAGGACGUACUGCACAUGAACAUGUUAGAGCAUGUUGCCAUGGCCUUUUGACUAGCAUCACAAAUCUUCCCUACAGCAUCGCAUCGUGCAAUACUUGGCUUCCUAGUCGCAUUUAAUGUUUCUUUCCUAAUAUCUCCUAUUUUCAAACUGCCGGACACCGUUUUUUACACGGAAAGGUCUCAUACAUGUUUCUCUCAUGUUCUGGCAGGAUAGUGACUGUCUCGAGCAUGUAUUCUUGAACAUGCUUCUCUCAUGUUCUCGCGUUGUUUGUGGAUAGGGCAUGCAUACAUAAUAGAAUAGCUACCACAUGUUUGGAUGUUUUUGUACCUCCUACUAUGUACCAACAAUCAAAUCUGUGCUAGGACCAAUCAUUUAUUCAGUGAUAGCCGGUAGGUUCUAUUGCUAUUAAUAGCGAGAUGUUUAUCAAAAAUGCAGUUUGGAGGCCGAGCUGCAUGGUACUCUUCACACUCAAGCUCGUAUUACUCCUCCGUAUUUCACCGUAUACAACUAUUUAUUACCCACAUAUGUGUGGUGAUCCGACGUCCGGUGGUUUCUCAAGGAGCGGGGUUUCUGUCCCAAUCAGUAGUUUUAG
rnacentral:lncRNA from 1 species